AAGAAGAAGAAGAAGAAGAAGAAGAAGAAGAAGAAGAAGAAGAAGAAAUUGGGGUUUUUAGGGUUUUUGCUUUAAUCUUGUCACUUCGGGUCAAAAUUUGCAAAGGAUAGCGUAUCGCUUGCUUAAAUGUUAAGAUUGGGCUGAGGCAGUGGAAAGUUAGAAGAUUUUGGGCCGAUCCUUGUUAGCAUAUGUGUAUUUGUUGUAUAUGAUACUCUGCAUCUUAUGAAAUGUGACGAUGAAUCUAAACCUGUGGAUUUUGUGUAAGAUAAAGGAUCCCUUGUGUAUAGGAUUUUGGAAUGUUAAGUUAAAUUCAUGUAAUGAUAUGAUCUUAUGGUAAA